rnacentral:ncRNA from 12 species
GGUUGGGCGAAUUCAAUAUUCGCUUUCAAGAGUUAAAAACUUCUGGGGGUGGGAGGCU